UACGGAGGGUGCGAGCGUUAAUCGGAAUUACUGGCCGUAAAGCGCACGUAGGCGGUUUAGUAAGUCGGAUGUGAAAUCCCCGGGCUUAACCUGGGAAUUGCAUUCGAUACUGCUAGGCUAGAGUAUGGUAGAGGGAAGCGGAAUUCCGGGUGUAGCGGUGAAAUGCGUAGAUAUCCGGAGGAACACCAGUGGCGAAGGCGGCUAACUGGACCAAUACUGACGCUGAGGUGCGAAAGCGUGGGGAGCAAACAGG
rnacentral:rRNA from 1 species